UUUAUGGAGAGUUUGAUCCUGGCUCAGAGUGAACGCUGGCGGCGUGCCUAAUACAUGCAAGUCGAACGAUGAAGCUUCUAGCUUGCUAGAGUGCUGAUUAGUGGCGCACGGGUGAGUAACGCAUAGGUCAUGUGCCUCUUAGUUUGGGAUAGCCAUUGGAAACGAUGAUUAAUACCAGAUACUCCCUACGGGGGAAAGAUUUAUCGCUAAGAGAUCAGCCUAUGUCCUAUCAGCUUGUUGGUAAGGUAAUGGCUUACCAAGGCUAUGACGGGUAUCCGGCCUGAGAGGGUGAACGGACACACUGGAACUGAGACACGGUCCAGACUCCUACGGGAGGCAGCAGUAGGGAAUAUUGCUCAAUGGGGGAAACCCUGAAGCAGCAACGCCGCGUGGAGGAUGAAGGUUUUAGGAUUGUAAACUCCUUUUGUUAGAGAAGAUAAUGACGGUAUCUAACGAAUAAGCACCGGCUAACUCCGUGCCAGCAGCCGCGGUAAUACGGAGGGUGCAAGCGUUACUCGGAAUCACUGGGCGUAAAGAGCGCGUAGGCGGGAUAGUCAGUCAGGUGUGAAAUCCUAUGGCUUAACCAUAGAACUGCAUUUGAAACUACUAUUCUAGAGUGUGGGAGAGGUAGGUGGAAUUCUUGGUGUAGGGGUAAAAUCCGUAGAGAUCAAGAGGAAUACUCAUUGCGAAGGCGACCUGCUGGAACAUUACUGACGCUGAUUGCGCGAAAGCGUGGGGAGCAAACAGGAUUAGAUACCCUGGUAGUCCACGCCCUAAACGAUGGAUGCUAGUUGUUGGAGGGCUUAGUCUCUCCAGUAAUGCAGCUAACGCAUUAAGCAUCCCGCCUGGGGAGUACGGUCGCAAGAUUAAAACUCAAAGGAAUAGACGGGGACCCGUACAAGCGGUGGAGCAUGUGGUUUAAUUCGAAGAUACACGAAGAACCUUACCUAGGCUUGACAUUGAGAGAAUCCGCUAGAAAUAGUGGAGUGUCUGGCUUGCUAGACCUUGAAAACAGGUGCUGCACGGCUGUCGUCAGCUCGUGUCGUGAGAUGUUGGGUUAAGUCCCGCAACGAGCGCAACCCCCUUUCUUAGUUGCUAACAGGUCAUGCUGAGAACUCUAAGGAUACUGCCUCCGUAAGGAGGAGGAAGGUGGGGACGACGUCAAGUCAUCAUGGCCCUUACGCCUAGGGCUACACACGUGCUACAAUGGGGUGCACAAAGAGAAGCAAUACUGCGAAGUGGAGCCAAUCUUCAAAACGCCUCUCAGUUCGGAUUGUAGGCUGCAACUCGCCUGCAUGAAGCUGGAAUCGCUAGUAAUCGCAAAUCAGCCAUGUUGCGGUGAAUACGUUCCCGGGUCUUGUACUCACCGCCCGUCACACCAUGGGAGUUGUGUUUGCCUUAAGUCAGGAUGCUAAAUUGGCUACUGCCCACGGCACACACAGCGACUGGGGUGAAGUCGUAACAAGGUAACCGUAGGUGAACCUGCGGUUGGAUCACCUCCUUUCUAGA
rnacentral:rRNA from 1 species